rnacentral:piRNA from 1 species
UAGGCCUUAUCUGACCUCCAGAGCAA